UCGAACGUAAGAUGACUGUAGGUGAAAGCUUACAUCUCUUCGGAGCAUUUACGAGGUGCUGCAUGGUUGUCGUCAGCUCGUGCCGUGAGGUGUCGGGUUAAGUCCCAUAACGAGCGCAACCCUACCUUUAGUUGCCAUCAGGUAAUGCUGGGGACUCUAAAGGAACUGCCUACGCAAGUAGUGAGGAAGGCGGGGAUGACGUCAAAUCAGCACGGCCCUUACGUCCAGGGCUACACACGUGCUACAAUGGCCGAUACAGAGGGCAGCUACCUGGUGACAGGAUGCAAAUCUCCAAAGUCGGUCUCAGUUCGGAUCGGAGUCUGCAACCCGACUCCGUGAAGUUGGAUUCGCUAGUAAUCGCGCAUCAGCCAUGGCGCGGUGAAUACGUUCCCGGGCCUU
rnacentral:rRNA from 1 species